rnacentral:rRNA from 1 species
CCCUUAGAUGUUCUGGGCCGCACGCGCGCUACACUGACGAAGUCAGCGAGCAUGUCCUACGCCGACAGGUGCGGGGAAUCUUGUCAAACUUCGUCGUGAUGGGGAUUGAUUAUUGAAAUUCUUGAUCAUCAACGAGGAAUUCCUAGUAAGCGCAAGUCAGCAGCUUGCGUUGAUUACGUCCCUGCCCUUUGUACACACCGCCCGUCGCUACUACCGAUUGAAUGGUUUAGUGAGAUCUUCGGAUUGGCGCCACUGCGGCUCAGCAAUGGGCUCGGUGGAUGCCGAAAAGUUGAUCAAACUUGAUCAUUUAGAGGAAGUAAAAGUCAUAACA